rnacentral:rRNA from 1 species
UACGUAGGGGGCAAGCGUUGUCCGGAUCUAUUGGGCGUAAAGAGCGUGUAGGCGGCCAUACAGGUCAGCUGUGAAAACUCGAGGCUCAACCUCGAGACGUCGGUUGAAACCGUAUGGCUAGAGUCCGGAAGAGGAGAGUGGAAUUCCCGGUGUAGCGGUGAAAUGCGCAGAUAUCGGGAAGAACACCCGUGGCGAAGGCGGCUCUCUGGGACGGUACUGACGCUGAGACGCGGAAAGCGUGGGGAGCAAACAGGG